GAUGAACGCUAGCGGAAGGCAUAAUACAUGCAAGUCGAACGGAUGUAGCAAUGCAUUAGUGGCGCACGGGUGCGUAACGCGUAUGCAACCUACCUUCAUCAGGGGGAUAACUACCCGAAAGGGUGGCUAACACCGCAUAAUACUAUUGAGUGGCAUCACUUGAUAUUUAAAUCUGAGGAGGAAGAUGGGCAUGCGUCUGAUUAGCUAGUUGGUGUGGUAACGGCGCACCAAGGCGACGAUCAGUAGGGGAACUGAGAGGUUGGUCCCCCACACUGGCACUGAGAUACGGGCCAGACUCCUACGGGAGGCAGCAGUAGGGAAUAUUGGUCAAUGGUGGGAACACUGAACCAGCCAUUCCGCGUGCAGGAAGAAGGGUCUCUGACUUGUAAACUGCUUUAGCAAGGGAAGAAAAAGCUCAUGCGUGAGAAAUUGACGGUACCUUGAGAAUAAGCACCGGCUAACUACGUGCCAGCCGCCGCGGUAACAC
rnacentral:rRNA from 1 species